CGACGCUGAUUGGUUCACAGGGUUCACGGCACCCAAUGGGAGUGAGAAUUGUCAGCGGGUCGUCAGUAUCCGGGCAGAAGGACCUGACACAGAAGUCAGACCCUGGAGUCUUCUAGAAGAAAAGCCACUUCCGGGAAUACAGUCACAACACAAGCCUUGUGGAUGCAGUGGAGAGAUGCUUCUCCUUUAAGAGGAGGCUCUGGCCUGCAGCCCCCCCCUCCCCCCCCGACCCCACAGAGACCAGGCUCUCUUAACUUGAUCAGUAGUGUGGGGAAAUAUUAAAUUUACACGUUUCUUCAUUCUGUGGAUGUCUCCAAAUCGCAGUCACAGAACUGAAGUGGAAAGAAGAGGAGAGAUGGGUGAGGGCUCCUGAAGAGAGGCACCCAUCACACAGAGCAACAAAUGUGGGUGAGCACAGGUGUGAACUCCAGUCACCUCCCCAUGCAGGUCUCCACAGCAGCCCAGCAGCCUCACCAGGAUUCUGCGGCUCCUGUUUCAGUGAACCACUCUUAGGUGCUGUGAGUGUUUUCCGUGGGAAGUUGAAGCUCUUAGGUUCCAUCCUGACUGACCUAAGGAUGCAGUUGGGGUAGGCAGCCCCACAGAAAGGAUCUGUCUCUGUUACUUUUCUUCUUAUUUAUUCUGGUUUUUGAGACAAGGUCUGUCUGCACUGCUCUGGCUGUCCUGGAACUUACUAUGUAGACCAAGCUGGCCUUGACCUCCCAGAGAUACAUGGCCUUUGCAUCCUGAGGGCUGGGUGUCACAGUUUCCCUUUCAUUGUUGUGAAGAAACACCAUGACCAAGGCAACACUUCUAAAAAGAAACAUUCAAUAGUGGCUGGGUAACAGUUUCAGGGGUUUAGUCCAUUAUAACAGGAAGCAUGGCAGCUGCAGGCAGACAUGGUGCUGAAGGAGCUGAGACUUCUACAUCUUGAUCCAAAGGCAGCCAGGAAGAGGCUCUCAUUCCUCACUGGGCAGAGCAUGAGCACAGAGACCUCAAAGCCCUUCCUCUAGGUGACACACUUCCUCCAACAAGGCCACGCCUAUUCCCACAAGGCCACACCUCCUACUAGUGCCACUCUUUGUGCGUCCAGCAUCCAAACACAUGAGUCUAUGGGGACCACCUAGUCAAUCAACCACAAUAGGAUUGAAGGCCUGUGUCAGCACACUAGCUCUAGUUAGUUUUUAUUACUGUGAUAAGACACUAAGACCAAGGUAUCUUACAAAAGAAUAUGUUUAAUCUGUUAUAUAGUUUAGAGGAUUUGAGUCCAUGAUGGCAGAGGAGAGGUGUGGUGGGGGAACAGCUGAGAGCUCCCGACUUGAUUUGCAAGUAACAGACUGAGACACUGGGAAUAGUGAAAGUCGAUUUUUAAAAAAAUUUUGAUAUAUAUGUAAUAUAAAAUAUUAUAUAUAAUAUAUAUAAUUUAUUCAUAAAGUACACUGUACUUGUCUUCAGACACCAUAAGAGGGCAUCAGAUCUCAUUACAGAUGUUGUGAGGUACCGUGUGGUUCCUGGGAUUUGAACUCAGGAGCAGUCGUUGCCCUUAACCACUGAGCCAUCUCUCCAGCCCAGUGAAAGUCUUUUGAAACCUCAGUGCACACACCAGUGGCACACAUCCUCCAUCAAGGCCACACCUCCCAAUCCUCUCUGAACAUGGCCUCAGCUGGAUUUGAAGGAUUCAUUCCCAUGAGCCUGUGUGGCUGUUCUCAUUCAAACCAGCACAGCAGUCACUGUGAAGUGUAAGAGGCCAGCAGGGUUCUGGAGAUGUGUCCAGUGCAGGCUGAGGGAAAUGCCCUCACACAGGGCACUCUGCUGAGUUAGGUCUCCCCUUUGCCUCUGUCUCCUCCUGCUCAGCCCCUCUGUGUCUCUGUCCCUCAGGUCUCACCCCAUCCAUGCCCAGCUCCCCUCCCUCCUGGGCUCUGCACUGACCCUGUCUCUUCCUUGGCCUCUGGUUUCUCUAUGGCGUCAGCCAGCAGCUGUGAGGCAGCUGUGUGGUUCCUGAGGCAAACAUUCCAAUGGUGGCUGGGGAGAGGGCUCAGCAGCCAGGAGCACUUGUUGCUGGUGCAGAGGAUCCAGGCUGAGUUCCCUCAGCACACGGUGGCUUCCACCGUCUGUGACUUCAGUUCCAAGGGAUCAAUGGCUGUGCACCUACAUGUUUAUAUGCACAAAGAGGACAGGUCAUGAAAAUAAAAUAUAAAAACAUGAUUUUAAUAAUCCUGCCUGUCUUUCUUCUACACAUCGAGAGUGUGAGGCCAGGGGCGGAGGGCACAGUGCUGUUCAGACAACAGUGGACCACCAGCCAAUGAAGAGAGCUCUGUAACAGGAAGUCUGAGAUGGUUGAAAUAGUGUGUAUUGAAAUGACAGUUUGCAGAACAGCAUAAAAUUAAAUAUACAAAAG